UUCGGAGGGUGCAAGCGUUAUCCGGAUUUAUUGGGUUUAAAGGGUGCGUAGGCGGUCUGUUAAGUCAGCGGUCAAAUGUCGGCGCUCAACGCCGGCCUGCCGUUGAAACUGGCGGACUUGAGUGGGCGAGAAGUAUGCGGAAUGCGUGGUGUAGCGGUGAAAUGCAUAGAUAUCACGCAGAACCCCGAUUGCGAAGGCAGCAUACCGGCGCCCAACUGACGCUGAGGCACGAAAGCGUGGGUAUCGAACAGG
rnacentral:misc_RNA from 1 species